GGGAAUAUUGGACAAUGGGGGAAACCCUUAUCCAGCGACGCCGCGUGAGGGAAGAAGGUUUUCGGAUUGUAAACCUCUGUCAGUGGGGACGAUAAUGACGGUACCCACGGAGGAAGCCACGGCUAACUACGUGCCAGCAGCCGCGGUAAUACGUAGGUGGCAAGCGUUGUCCGGAAUUACUGGGUGUAAAGGGAGCGUAGGCGGGAUGUCAAGUCAGAAGUGAAAAUUAUGGGCUCAACUCAUAACCUGCUUUUGAAACUGAUAUUCUUGAGUGAAGUAGAGGCAAGCGGAAUUCCUAGUGUAGCGGUGAAAUGCGUAGAUAUUAGGAGGAACACCAGUGGCGAAGGCGACUUUCUGGACAGUAACUGACGUUGAGGCACGAAAGUGUGGGGAGCAAACAGG
rnacentral:rRNA from 1 species